rnacentral:piRNA from 1 species
UGGCGGUGAUUGGUUUAGGAUGGUUUUU